rnacentral:lncRNA from 1 species
UGCUAUAGGAGUUUAUGCCAAAAGAUCCGCAUGCACUGGGAAUUUGUCAAAAAACAUUAAUUUGUGCUGCAUUUUAAGAAAGGUGUAGACUUCAGUUCUGAAAGGGGUGGGGUGGAGGAUGGGAAGACGUUCUAGGCUGAGAAGAUCUUGAAGCAGGAAAGGGGAGGAGAGCAGCUUGGCUGAAGUGGAAGGUCCAUGCCUGGGAGAAAGAAAGUUGGACUAGGGUGGGGUGAGCCUCAGAUGCAGCUAGAACCUGUUUUAUCUUCAAAUAAUAGGGUGCUGGGCUGGGCACUGUGGCUCAUGCCUGUAAUCCCAGCGACUCAGGAAGCUGGGGUGGGAGAACUGCUUGAGGCCAGGAUUUCAAGACCAGCCUGGGCAACACAGCGAGACCCCAUCUCUGAAAAAGUAAGAAAUAUUAGCUGGGCAUGUUGGUGCACACCCAUAGUCACAGCUGCUUGGGAGGCUGAGGUAAGAGGAUCACUUGGGCCCAGGUGUUUGAGGCUGCAAUGAGUCAUUAUCGUCCCAUUGCACUCCAGCCUGGGAGACAGAGCAAGACCCUGACUCAAUUAAAAAUAAAUAAAUAGGAGCUAUUGAUGGUUCUUGAGUAGAAAAGUAAAGAGUGCCACAAUGAAGGUGAAAGCAGUAUCACAGUGUGAUAAGUAGACAGGGGUCUGGAAUCAAUGGACUGAUAGAAGAAACUGGGAGUACCUCUGAUUGUGGAAGUCCACGUGUGAUGGAAUCAAGGCUCAGGCCAGACAGGAACCCAAAUUAUCUGCUUAAAUGAUUCACAAAUGAGAAUCACUUUGGGAGCUUUAAAGAUGAGAACACGUUCGUGGGCCUUGCCCCCAUUUGUGCAUUUUCUCAACGUUUCCCAGGAGCUGAUGAUGCAGCACAGGCGUGGGAGCUUUAAACUAGUCCAACUCUUACACAAAGGGCAAAUUUUCUUAGCGGACUAAGAAAUGUAACUCAAAGAGGUUAAGUGACUGAACCAAAGUCACACUCCUAGUUAGUGACAGAGGAGAACCUAAGUUGGACCCUCCCGUCUGGACCCCGGGCUCCUUCCUCUAGGCUGGACCAUUGCAGCACCCGACAGGGGCAACACUCCAGCGGAAUCCCCUGCAACCUGCCCUUAGGCUGAGGCUUCCCUAGAGGGCCUUCCCUGUUUCUCCAGAGCCAGUGUUCACUAGUUCCCCAGACCCUGUAAACUCCAUCGUGGUCUUCCUAAAUGGGACUUCUCCUCAGGCUGUCCAGCAGGAAAGAAGGGAGUAGCAGGAAUACGUGGGUACCCUGGUUCCGUGGCCACUAGAGGUAAGGUGGGCUGGGGGUAGGGGUUAGAGAGCAAGAGAAGCAGCCCAGGUGAGAUGUCAAAGAUCAAGUUUUCAAGGCCACCAGGGAAGGAGGCUCUAGUCCUAAGGUUAAAGUCAGCCAGGGCUCAGUUUGGGAAGCUCAGGUGUGUGGUGAGAAAGCUGCUGAGCUGCGGCCAGUUUGCAGUACCAAGGAGAGCUGCUGGACCAGAGAUGGAGACUGAGGUCCCAGAAAGGCACUGCUGGAGCAGGAAGAUCUGGGCCAGCCACCAAAGGGAUGUGAACCUGGAGCGAAGCAGGAGGACUGAAACUUGGGCAACCUUCCUCUUCAGGGGUGCUGGAGGGCUCCUGGGCACAUCCAGGCCGGGGAAGAAGCCCCCGGGAGCCGUGUGGUGUUCACACGCAUCACAGGUUCAGGAGAAUGCAGGAGGGGGCCUGAGAAGAGCUGCGGAUUUGGUCACUCCCGGGAAGCGUUAGGUAGAGUGGAGAGCAG